UACGAAGGGUGCAAGCGUUACUCGGAAGUACUGGGCGUAAAGCGGGCGUAGGUGGUUUGUUAAGUCUGUUGUGAAAGCCCCGGGCUCAACCUGGGAAUGGCAAUGGAUACUGGCAAGCUAGAGUGCGGUAGAGGGUAGUGGAAUUCCCGGUGUAGCGGUGAAAUGCGUAGAGAUCGGGAGGAACACCAGUGGCGAAGGCGGCUACCUGGACCAGCACUGACACUGAGGCACGAAAGCGUGGGGAGCAAACAGG
rnacentral:rRNA from 1 species